rnacentral:rRNA from 2 species
AGCCUUUUGAAUUUAUAAAAGGUUAUUCCUGCCCGGUGUUCUUUGAAUUAACGGCCGCGGUACUCUGACCGUGCUAAGGUAGCAUAAUCAUUUGCCUUAUAAUUGAAGGCUAGAAUGAAUGGAUUUACAAGAAAGCACCUGUCUCUUUUCUUUAUUUAGAAUUUGCUGUCAGAGUGAAGAAGCUCUGAUUAUUAAGUUAGACGAGAAGACCCUAUUGAGCUUUACUAUUUUUAUAAAUUUUAAUUUUUAUUCAUAGUUUGAUUGGGGCGAUCGAGGAAGGGCAAUUAUCUUCCUCAUUCUUUUUUAUAUUUUAUUCUUUUGAUCCCCUUUUAGGGAUUAUAAAAAUAAGUUACCAUAGGGAUAACAGCGUAAUCUUCUUUUAGAGUUCUUAUCAAAAAGAAGGUUUGCGACCUCGAUGUUGGACUAAGAUAUCCUAAAGGUGCAGAAGCUUUUGUUGGUGGGUCUGUUCGACCCUUAAAAUCUU